CCUAGCGGCGCCAGAUGAUCUGCGUUCCGGAGCAAGAGGGUCAGACUCCGCGCCGCAAGGCGGCUGCGUGGCGAAACCCUUCAAGAGGAUGCGGCCACCGCUGAAGUCCCAUAGAGUCUUCACUAAAACCAUUAGCGUUUCUCCUGUGGUUUUCUAUCCGCUGAAGUGAAGAAAUGUUUCCAACAAGUCCACAGCGAGAACCUGCGGAGAAGUGAGGCCACAAACUCCGCGAGGAACGGGAAGAGAAAGUGCUGUUGCCAUCCUCCUUUCACUUUAAACUUGCCCACUUCUGGAACUUCACUGGAGGGCGACGGACUUGCACCAGUAUGGACUCCAAGCAGAUCGGAGCGAGCACUUCCAAAUACUUUAGGACGCGGGGGUGACUCCUUUUUCCUUCAGGAUUAUCCCAUUUGGCAUACUUCCCCGCCGAGCUGUUGAGGAUCCGCGAAAGCCUGGGAGACAAAGUUACCAGCUUCUCAAAUCCAGUCCUCUUCUCCAGUAAUGCUUAAAAUAAGAUCAUCACUGAACAACCUUAAACUAGCUUGCUGGAGAGGCUCCUUGAAGAGGACCAAGACAUCCCAGUCAAUAGCCUUCUAACAACCAGUUAUGUGAAUGAGGCUAUCUUAGACUACACGGGCCCCAAUGGAGCGACCAGCUAACUGCAGCCACGUGCAAAUCCAGGCAAGACCAACAGAGUUCAGCUUAACGUCUCCAAAUUGCUUACCCACAGAACCAUGGGUUAAUAAAGGGCUGAUUUUUUAAGCCACUAAAUUUAGGUGGCUUGUUACACAGCAAAUAGUAACUGAUACAUGUUAUUCAAUAUGCAGUAUGGUAAGUUGUUCACAUAACUUAAAAUACGGACAAGGAGAUCCUCAUGUAAUGGUUUUUAAAUUAAGUAUGAACUGCUGUCACAUUUAUAAACAUUGAACUAGUGAAGAAGGCUAAAAUCCAUUGUGAGCAAAUUUGAACUCUAUUAAUAAAAAGAUCCAUCAAGUUAGUAUUUAAGAUAUAUCUACAGUGGACAAAUAAAAUAGCGCAAUAUAAAUAAAAUAUAACUAAAUGUAAUAAAAUAUAAUGAAAAUUAGUUUUCUUCCUAUUUUUUACAACUCAUGGAGACUGUUACAUCCCAGAAGAAGAAACUAACACGUAGAAGGAGUUUCUAACCCAGGGGCCCCGCAGCUUAUCUCACAGAAAACAGGUGCCCAUAAACUAAAGAAUGAAGGCUGUUUAAAGCUGUUCAAGGCUGUUGCAGCCACAGUGGCACCUUAAAGGCAGGUAAGGCAAGGUCAAAUAUAUCCAAAAGACAAACAACCAAAAAGGCCUGCUCUCCCUGGUUAGAUAACGCAACUGCUUUCCUAAAAAGAAUAUUGUCUCAGAAUUCUAGCAACCAGUCAGCCCAAAAGUAGAUAAGCACUCACCCAAUCGAAGCACAGAACAUCACAGCAGACACUACCCAACAUGGGUUCCUUUUUUUGUUAAAAAAUGCAGCUCUCAGAUAGAGAAUGGGAGCCAUUAUCUUUUUUCUUCUUUUCUGUUGCCUCCCACCUGCUUUCUUCCUCUAAUAAAUCUUAAACUUUAUACUUAAACUUUGAUUCACUGCAUUGUGUGGAUUCUUGAAUAACUCUGACUUAACAGAGACAUAAUGAAAAAAUACAGGUAUAGGAAUGAUGAUAGUCCCUAAGAAGAAUAGAGCCACAUGGAUUGGCUAUGACAAUUCAGACACACACAAAACUAUGGUGAUUUUACUUGACGACAAGACUUGAGGUGCCAGUGUUGUGACGGCCAGCACAGCUUACUCACUUUCUCUGGGCAGCAAUUUCAGGGCAUAGACCAACAUUGCUAAUGAAGAUACAAUGGAAUGAACUCAUCUUGCACUAAGGGCCAUCUCUGAGAAUUCGAGGCCCAAUUGAAAAUGAAACACCCACAACACUUAAAUUUAGCAAAGAAGACUGUGCAUAUUUUCUCCUAUAAAAGACCAAAGGGACAGAGAAAAGUCCAAGAUUAUUUUCAGGAUUCCAAAUGGAUUUGUGGACAAAGUAUUUUAUAUUUCUCUUGCUGGAGAUGCUAAGCAUGAGCUGGAUUCCUCCCAAUUUUUUUUUUUCAGCAGUCAUGAAAUGUCCCAGUAGAGAAUAGGACACACGUACUUUUUCAAACCAGCUUAGAGGAAAUGUGAAAUGCAUAAUGAUAUAACUGAAAUGACAUUGCCUUAGGAGUUAGGAAAUCACUCUUCUAGCUUUAUAGCAACUGCCUUUCACUUAUAUUUGUUGGACUCCAGCAGAAUGAGUGGAUUAUUCUAGAUGAGUGAAUUUCAAACUAUGCUCCCUGGAACCCUAGAGAAAUUUGGAUGUCCAACAGAGGGAUGUGGUGAAAGGAUGGCAGAGGUUAAGUCCAAAGAGGAGAACUAGAAGGGUUCUGGGAUUUCCAGAUCCCCUCCCAACAUAGACGCACUGAUAGGUUUUAUUUGUUGGGUUUUGUCAUGAUAAAAUAUUAAAUAUAAAUUUAAUAUUUAAUUUUUAUGACUUAAAGUAAUAGAGAACUUUUCAGAAAAAAAUCAGGACUAUAUAAAAGAGAAAAUACAAAUCAUAUAUAAUUUCA